AACGCACAUUGCGCCCGCCAGUAUUCUGGCGGGCAUGCCUGUCCGAGCGUCAUUUCAACCCUCAGGCCCUGGUUGCCUGGUGCUGGGGCGCCGCGCACCCUCUGCGGGCGCGGGCCCCGAAAGUCAGUGGCGGGCUCGCCAGGACUCCGAGCGCAGUAAUCUCUUCUCGCUGUGGAGCGCCUGGUGGGUUUUACCAGCCGUAAAACACCCCAAACUUCCAAAGGUUGACCUCGGAUCAGGUAGGAAUACCCGCUGAACUUAA
rnacentral:misc_RNA from 1 species